rnacentral:tRNA from 1 species
GCACCCGUAGCUCAGUUGGAUAGAGCGUCUGACUUCGAAUCAGAAGGUCGAAAGUUCGAGUCUUUCCGGGUGUA